CUACGAGCCGCAGCAGUCGAGGAAAUUUUACAAUGCUCGAAAGAGUGAUAAAAUGAGCCAGAGUGUUUUCUUUAAGAAAACUUUUAUCUGUUGUAAAAAGACAGAUGAAUAAGGACUGGGCAAGACCGGUGCCAGCCGCCGCGGUAAUCCCGGCGGUCCAAGUUGCAUCCACAUUUAUUGGGUCUAAAACAUUCGUAGCUUGUUUUGUAAGUCUCUUGUGAAAUUCCAUAUCUUAAGUAUGGAGCUUGCAAGAGAUACUAUAAAACUUGAGACCGGAAGACGUAAAGAGUAUGAUUAAGGUAGCGGUAAAAUGUGUUAAUCUUAAUCAGACUAACAAUUGCGAAGGCACUUUACGAGUACGGAUCUGACAGUGAGGAAUGAAGGCUAGGGGCGCAAAAGGGAUUAGAUACCCGAGUAGUC
rnacentral:rRNA from 1 species